CGGAAGAACUGGUUACUGAAUCUCUACUCUAACCAAAUUCACCUGCUGCUGUACCCUGAGGCAAAAAGCAAAACUUUAAACAAAUAAAGAUGACAUCUCUCUCUGGAUUGGAUAAAAGGUGAUUGGACAGAACGUUGUAGAAAAACAAACUCGACUAAAUAAAACACCAGAAUUCACAAGCUGCGCCGAGAAGGAUCAUCAUAACAGUUUUAGUCUUCAAUUUAUAGCUUUGUACUAGUAAGAAAUAAAGUAGGAAAUUUUGUGGCUGAUACCUGCUGAAGACUGCUUGCUAAAUACACAUCAGAAAAAUGCAGAAUUAUAACACCAAGAUGAAAGAACUUGCAAAAACUGGAAAAAUAGAGAUAAAAGGUAUUACCCGAAAGUGUGGAAACAUUUACUGGCAGAAGCAGCUAAAGAACAAAGAGAAAAUAAAAGGAGAAAAUCCUGUAAGAAAAAAAUCCCAACAAAAAUAAGCGGACCAAAA